AAGCCCCAACUCCAUCAGACUCAAACAAACAAUAAUUCCAUCAAAGAUGUUCCAGCCUUGCUGAAAGUAAUAGUAUGGAUCCAGAGCAAAGAUCUUCAACACCAUCUCUGCCGUGAAGAUUCCAGUGAACACCUGGUUUCCAACACUCAGCAUGCUGUUGAAUUCAUCAGUCAUGGGGUAGUGCUCCAGCGCCAUGAACAAUGUGUUGAGAACAAUGCAAAUGGUGAUUGCAAGGUCUAGGAAAGGGUCCAUCACCAUGACUUUAAGCCCUUCCUUCACUCUCAGCCAAGCAGGAGAACAUGUCCAAAUCAGCGUCACUGAAGAAGCUGACAGAGCUCAGUCCUCUCUUCCUGCGAGGGGGCGGGACUUCCUCCUGUAAGUCGACGGUCAGCUUGGCAGCUGGAGAGCUCUGCUCAUUCUGAAACACUGGCUCCUGUCAAUCAAAGUGGACAUCAAUACGUCAAAUCUUUUCCAAAACCUACAGUAGUAAAGCUGUAUUCAAACUAAAGUGGGACCUCAUAAGUGACUGAUUUGAAACGUUCCUCAAAAGCUGCUACUAUUGGCACGAUACUUUAACAAGCUUAC